CCUACGGGAGGCAGCAGUGGGGAAUAUUGGACAAUGGGGGCAACCCUGAUCCAGCCAUGCCGCGUGUGUGAAGAAGGCCCUCGGGUUGUAAAGCACUUUCAGUGAGGAAGAACGCCUGGUGGUUAAUACCCAUCAGGAAAGACAUCACUCACAGAAGAAGCACCGGCUAACUCCGUGCCAGCAGCCGCGGUAAUACGGGGGGUGCGAGCGUUAAUCGGAAUUACUGGGCGUAAAGCGCGCGUAGGUGGCUUGAUAAGCCGGUUGUGAAAGCCCCGGGCUCAACCUGGGAACGGCAUCCGGAACUGUCAAGCUAGAGUGCAGGAGAGGAAGGUAGAAUUCCCGGUGUAGCGGUGAAAUGCGUAGAGAUCGGGAGGAAUACCAGUGGCGAAGGCGGCCUUCUGGACUGACACUGACACUGAGGUGCGAAAGCGUGGGUAGCAAACAGGAUUAGAUACCCCAGUAGUC
rnacentral:rRNA from 1 species